CACUGGUUAGCUCAGUUGGUAGAGCGCUCCACUUGUAAUGGAGAGGUCCCGGGUUCGAUACCCGGACCAGGCG
rnacentral:tRNA from 1 species